UGAGGAACAUGACCUUCGGCGGGGGAUAGCCGGCCCAACGGCCGGGUAAUACCGCGUACGACCACAUGGGGACAUCCCUGAGUGGUGAAAGCAGCAAUGCGCCGAAAGAGUGCCUCGCGGCCUAUCAGCUAGUUGGUGAGGUAAUGGCUCACCAAGGCGACGACGGGUAGCUGGUCUGAGAGGAUGGCCAGCCACAUUGGGACUGAGACACGGCCCAGACUCUACGGGAGG
rnacentral:rRNA from 1 species